rnacentral:lncRNA from 1 species
AUUCACUGGACGCUCUCCACACCCACCCCUGCUUGGUCCCCUCCUUCAAGAUCUGGCCUAGUGGGAGGGUCGUUAUAGAAGCCGUCGUAUGUUUGGUUUGGGGAAAGAGCACACACGUUGGAAUUAAUAUCAGAAUCUUAGAUGGACAUAAAGGAAAAGUGGACGGUUGAAAGAAGCUAAGGACAGGAAAUGUGCCUGAAGCGGGAAGGUGUGGAGUGCCGUUUCUGCAGUGAAACUAAGGGAGUUCAUUUGGAUUUCGUAUUGAAAAGUUUUCUUUUAUCUUUUCCUGAAGGAGCACAAUAUAACAUAUGUUUCACCAAAAAUGAAAGAUGGAAUCAGAAUAGGGUAGGGCUACAGUCUACUCAUCUCAGAAGCUGCAGAGAAUGCAUAUUAUCUGCUCAAGAAAUAUUUCUGAAUGCAAAGGAGAAGACUUGACAGCAAAAGAAAAGAAAAAAAGCUAACUAGGAAUCUAUACUCUAAGGAACUACAAAAUACCCAUAAGAGGUGCUUGGGGGAGAAGAACUUUCCUUUUGAGUGUCUGAAGAUGACAUUAUAAUUUUAAAGAAAAUGAACUAGGAUCUGG